rnacentral:rRNA from 1 species
UACGGGGGGAGCAAGCGUUGUUCGGAUUUACUGGGCGUAAAGGGCUCGUAGGCGGCAUGCCAAGCGUGUGGUGAAAGCCCGGGGCUCAACCCCGGGUCGGCCGUGCGGACUGGCGUGCUCGAGCACUGUAGGGGCGGGUGGAAGUUCCGGGUGUAGCGGUGGAAUGCGUAGAGAUCCGGAAGAACACCGGUGGCGAAGGCGGCCCGCUGGGCAGGAAGACACCGCAAGGUGGUCGGCUGACGCUGAGGCGCGACAGCGUGGGGAGCAAACAGG